GUUCCUCUCUCUUUCCUUUCCUGCUGCGAUGGACGAGCACGUUGCUGUGCAGUCACUUGUCUCUCAGAUCAUUUAUUUAAUAACAAAUAAUGGCAAAGAUAAUCCAAAUAGUUUCUUGUUUUGCUUUCGAAAUUUGUACCGCUACAGAAGAAGAAAACAGCUGAGGUUUUUUUUUGUUUCUUGACACGUUUCUGCGCUCGACAACGUGUGACCUUUAGCCCAUGUGCGCAAGGAUGAGAAAAAUUGUAUCAAAAUCGCUUAAACCAUUUUUAAACUAUUUUAUACAACACGACAUGAAGUAAAAGUUUGAAAGGGCGUCUGGUCUGAGUGAGGACGCAUUUCUGGCUUGAUGCGAAAAACGGUUGACUGGCCUGAGUUGAGGAUGCAUUUCACCUGAUAAGCUGGUGGCAGCACUCUCCACUGCUGAAUGUUGAAAAAGACAACUCUCAUUGGGCUCCCACACUUCUGCCACUUUUUAUUGGUGUAGA